rnacentral:rRNA from 1 species
CCUUAACCUGCUAAAUAGGCGGGUGGACUUUCGGGUCCACACUGCGUUCUUAGAGGGACAAACCACGUUUAGUGGUUGGAAGUUUGAGGCAAUAACAGGUCUGUGAUGCCCUUAGAUGUUCUGGGCCGCACGCGCGCUACACUGACACGGUCAGCGAGUGACUAGCCUUGACCGAAAGGUCUGGGAAAUCUUGUGAAACCGUGUCGUGCUGGGGAUAGACCAUUGCAAUUAUUGGUCUUCAACGAGGAAUUCCUAGUAAGCGCAAGUCAUCAGCUUGCGUUGAUUACGUCCCUGCCCUUUGUACACACCGCCCGUCGUUACUACCGAUUGAAUGGCUUAGUGAGGCCUCCAGACGCGAGGGUGGGUCUCGUAAGAGGGCCACUCUAGGGGAAGUUGGUCAAACUUGGUCAUUUAGAGGAAGUACAAGUCG